UACGGGGGGAGCGAACGUUGUUCGGAAUCACUGGGCGUAAAGGGCGUGUAGGCGGCUGAAUAAGUGGGAUGUUAAAUCCCCCGGCUCAACCGGGGACCUGCAUCUCAUACUGUUCAGCUCGAGCACAUCAGAGGAGACUGGAAUUCCCGGUGUAGCAGUGAAAUGCGUAGAUAUCGGGAGGAACACCAGUGGCGAAGGCGAGUCUCUGGGAUGAUGCUGACGCUGAUGCGCGAAAGCCAGGGGAGCAAACGGG
rnacentral:rRNA from 1 species